rnacentral:rRNA from 1 species
UAGCUAGUUGGUGAGGUAACGGCUUACCAAGGCGACGAUCUGUAGCGGGUCUGAGAGGAUGAUCCGCCACACUGGAACUGAGACACGGUCCAGACUCCUACGGGAGGCAGCAGUGGGGAAUUUUGGACAGUGGGGGCAACCCUGAUCCAGCCAUGCCGCGUGAGUGAAGAAGGCCUUCGGGUUGUAAAGCUCUUUCGGCCGGGAAGAAAUCGCAUGGGCCAAUACCCUGUGUGGAUGACGGUACCGGAAUAAGAAGCACCGGCUAACUACGUGCCAGCAGCCGCGGUAAUACGUAGGGUGCGAGCGUUAAUCGGAAUUACUGGGCGUAAAGCGUGCGCAGGCGGUUUUGUAAGACAGGCGUGAAAUCCCCGGGCUCAACCUGGGAACUGCGUUUGUGACUGCAAGGCUAGAGUACGGCAGAGGGGGGUGGAAUUCCACGUGUAGCAGUGAAAUGCGUAGAGAUGUGGAGGAACACCAAUGGCGAAGGCAGCCCCCUGGGUCGAUACUGACGCUCAUGCACGAAAGCGCGGGUAGCAAACAGGAUUAGAUACCCUGGUAGUCCACGCCCUAAACUAUGUCAACUAGGUGUUGGGUGGGUAAAACCAUUUAGUACCGUAGCUAACGCGUGAAGUUGACCGCCUGGGGAGUACGGCCGCAAGGUUAAAACUCAAAGGAAUUGACGGGGACCCGCACAAGCGGUGGGUGAUGUGGAUUAAUUCGAUGCAACGCGAAAAACCUUACCUACCCUUGACAUGCCAGGAACUUGCCAGAGAUGGCUUGGUGCCCGAAAGGGAGCCUGGACACAGGUGCUGCAUGGCUGUCGUCAGCUCGUGUCGUGAGAUGUUGGGUUAAGUCCCGCAACGAGCGCAACCCUUGUCGUUAAUUGCCAUCAUUUAGUUGGGCACUUUAGCGAGACUGCCGGUGACAAACCGGAGGAAGGUGGGGAUGACGUCAAGUCCUCAUGGCCCUUAUGGGUAGGGCUUCACACGUCAUACAAUGGUCGGUACAAAGGGUCGCCAAGCCGCGAGGUGGAGCCAAUCCCAGAAAGCCGAUCGUAGUCCGGAUUGCAGGCUGCAACUCGCCUGCAUGAAGUCGGAAUCGCUAGUAAUCGUGGAUCAGCAUGUCACGGUGAAUACGUUCCCGGGUCUUGUACACACCGCCCGUCACGCCAUGGGAGCGGGUUCCGCCAGAAGUAGGUAGCCUAACCGCAAGGAGGGCGCUUACCACGGCGGGGUUCGUGACUGGGGUGAAGUCGAAACAAGGUAGCCGUAGGGGAACCU